AUCAUCAUUAUUCCCUAUACAAUAUUCCUUACUAAAACUUUUAUAAUAAUUCUCCUUAUGACUUCAGAGAUCAGACUGGCUUCCUAUUGGUUCGUGGAAAUAACGUCACUCCCUUCCCUCUCCAUGGUUGGUGGAGAGGUAGUGACGUCAUUUGUAAACAUUGGGUGACGCUUAAGACAGACACACACACAUACACACAGAGAGAGAGAGAGAGAGAGAGAGAGAGAGAGAGAAAUUAAAUUUGACACUGUGAAUGGAAGAGGUAUGGAGGAGGUGGUGGUGGUGGUGGAGGUGUAGAGAGAGAGAGAGAGCAACACCACCACCACCACCACUGCCUUUAAACACGAAAUCCGUCCAUAAAGCUAGGCCUAUCUAAACCCAGCAUAGGCUUAGUUAAGCUUACCACAGCCUACCAGAACCACAUCUGCCCACUGACACCCUCCUUAACCUGUGUGUGUGUGUACGUAUGUGUGUCUGUUAGCACCCUGACACCUGUUUAGCACCUGUGUAGUUAAUAAGGUGUGUGUGUGUGUGUGUGUGUGUCACCGUCUUUCAGUCAUUAUAACACCAAGAAUUAUUUAAUGAGAACAAACCUGCAAACUUUAAUGAACACACCUGUUAAAUUUAGAAUCUUUAGAGAGACGUAGGUGAAGAGGGGACCUGAUAGAAGUGUUUAAGUGGUAAAAGGGUUAUAACAAGGCAAACAAGCAAAAUUCUUAGGAUCAGCAACCAGGGUAGAACAAGAAUUAACGGGUACAAGCUUGAAAAAUUUAGGUUUAGGAAGGAGAUAGCAAAAAACUGGUUCUCAAAUCGAUUGGUAUAUGAGUUAACGGACUCAGUAAUCAUGUAGUUAGUGGUAGGACACUAGACAGCUUUAAGAGAAGAUUAGAUAUUAUAUAUUAGAUAGAUCCAUGGGGAUAGCAGAUGGAAAUAGGUAGGUGUGUUUCAUAGAGGGACUGCCACGUGUAAGCCUGCUCCCUUCUUGCACCUUCCAUUAUUUAUUAUGUUCUUAUGUAUGUUCACCUGAGACUGAUUGUAACACCUGCAAAUGUUAAUUGAGCCACAGAACACCUGAGAACAUUGAUAUUUGCACCUGGAAUAGUUACAUAGCGCUUAAGAUCAAUAUUGCACUGGAAAAUCACCUUGAAAUCAAUUGAAAAACAAAAUUACCACUUGAAAACACAUGACAAACUUAAUUAAAUGACCGAAAACACUUGAGGAAAAUUAAUAAACACCUUAAGAGAUUUAAUUAACACUUGAAAACUAGAAUACCACUUGAAAACACUAACCUAACCUAACCAAACUAACCUAACCUAACCUAACCUAACCUAACCUAACCAAACUAACCUAACCUAACCUAACCUAACCUAACCUUUGUGACUUAAUUAACACUUGAAAAAUACCUUCAAAACUGAAAUACUACUUGAAAAACACUUGAAAACACAUUUGUGACUUAAUUAACCUUUGAAAAACACCUUGAAAACUGGAAUACCUUUUCAAAACAGCUGAAAACAUCUUUGAGACUUAAUUAACACUUGAAAAACACUUGAAAACACCUUUGUGACUUAAUUAACUCUUGAAAAAUUACCUUCAAAACUGAAAUACCGCUUGAAAAACACUUGAAAACACCUUUGUGACUUAAUUAACAUUUGAAAGUUUAAUUAUCACUUGAAAAAAACACUUGAAAUUUUUUAAUCAUUACCUGAAAAACCUUUCAAACUUAAUUAUCACUUAGAAAGGAAAAAAGAAACUUGGAAAAUUAAAUAAAACCACUUGAAAACACUAACAAUUAUAAAAAAAAGACCCAGAACUAAAAACAAAUAAUAACUACCUGGAAUUUAUCAGAAAAAAACUAAUUAUUUCACCUGGAACGACUUUUGCAACCACUUGAGCGCACCUGUCACCCACUUAGCACCACCACCACCACCACCACCACCACCACCACAAGCCACUGGAACCACCUAGUACCACCUGAAAUCCUGGAAUCUACACUUUCACCCUGUACUGAAAUCUGGAAUAACCUGGAAUUGUGUGGCAGCAUUUAGAAGUGUCUGAGUUGAAACAUUUCUUCAAUACUCCAACUGUCACUAUCAAAAUACACUUAUAAACACUUAGAACACAUCAAAACACUCUCAAAACACACAAAACACCCCAAAACACACUCAAAACCACUCUAAACAUCCCAAAACACACUUACACACACAAAAAAACAUACCAGAACACUUAAAUACACCAAAACACACUUAAAGCACACUUAAACACACCAAAACACACUCAAAACACACUUAAACACACUCAAAACACACCAAAAUACUCUCGAAACACACCAAAACACACUUAAACACUCAAAACACUCCCAAACACACCCAAACACACUCAAAACAUUCCCAAACACACUCAAACAUACCUAAACACACCCCAAAUUACCUCAAAAUACCUCAAAAAACAUCUCAAAUAUAUCUUCAUAAAACACUUGAACACACACAUGGCUACCCAUCACUAAAACUCAGCCACCCAUCUCUUAAACACAAGGAUAUCCCAUUUAAAACACCCAUUCAUACACCUCCAUUCCUGCCCAUUCCAGCUCCAGUCAGCUUUUCCCCUAUUCCUGUGCCUUCCAGUCAGUUCUGCCUUAUUCCAGCUCAAUUCCAGUCUCUUUUGCUGUAUUCCUGUUAAAUUCCAGUCAGUUUUGGCCCAUUUCCACCCAUUCCUGUUAGAUUUUCCUGUAUUCCCAAUCCAUUCCAGUCUUGCUUCCCUUUAUUUCCAGUCUGCUUAGCCCAAUUCCAGUCCCAUCUACCCCAAUUCCAGUACCCCCAAUUUCUCCCCAUCUCAACCUAUCACUGCUACACCUAACUUUAAAACACUGAUCCAAACACCCGUUUAACUGCCCUCCCCAACCCUCACACACCCCUCAACACACACACACACACACACACACACACACACACACACACAAAUACCCAUAAACACACCUAAAAUAUUUUAAAACACACAAAAAACACUAGAUACACAUCUAAACACACCCAAGACAGCUUCAGGCACACUCAAAACACCCCAAAAUUUAUCCAAAACACUGCAUAACUUACCCAGACACCCCCAAACACCCCCAGCACCCCACCAUGCCUCUCUCAAUCACCAGUCACCACCACCUCAGCCCCACCAUCAACAUGUACAGCAAGGAAGGCGCAGGGGACUCGGGCCCUGACAGACACCACACUGGGGACUACCUGGCACCCUUAGCUUCUGUAGAUCUGUCCCGUGUCAACACCCCUGGCGGAUCUCCCUCCCCAUGACCCGGCCAUCACCCCGCCCUUGAGGACCCCAAUUGGGAGCCCCCGGAGGACCAAGGGAUGUUGCUGAGGUCACACCUGAUUCCGGAAUCUUGACACCCCUUCAAGAUUCCGAGCCGUUUAAUGAAGGGCCGCCCGACAGGUACUGCCUUGUGUUCCUGACCUUAGUUGUGCAUGGAGUCUGAACACUGAUGCCUUGGAAUAUGUUCAUCACUGCCAAGAACUUGCCAUUGGGAUCUUCCAGAACACAGUGUAUGGGACAGCUGCCCAUCUCCCAUUUAGCUACACGGUGGCGGUGGUGCUGGACUCGGUAAGUGAUGGGUGAUGGGGAAGAAAUGGGUGAAGAAAUGGGUGACAGGGAGAAAAUAAUGUUUGUUUUUUUGUUUAUUUAUUUAAUUUUUUUGAUGGGUAAGGAAUGGGUGGUGGAGAAA